UAAAUAUUACAAUGUAGUUAAUAAAUUGUUUAGAAAACCCCUAAUCUGGAUCAUAUUCCAAGACAUUUUCCUCGUCUUUCAGUGGAGAGAAAAUAGAUGCUGUUUUAAAAGGUAGCAAAGAAUUUUUUCUUUUUUUAAAUCUUUAUUCAAUUAGUGUGAGAAAAUAUAUAGAUCUUGUCUUCAUUAAUGGAACCACAUCUAUCACUUGUGCCAAAAGGAGAAAUCAACUUCCCUUUCACACAUUCUUAUCUCCAAAUUCGAUAACCAUCUCUUUAUGUAUCGAUUAUUAUUUUCUUUUAUAUUUUGUCUUCAUUAAAUUUUUUUUUAAUUAAAAAUGGUCUCAUUAUUGAACUCAAUUCAAUGCAGUCUUAUCAUGGGUCUACGAUCCCCCUCUCAGAAAAGUACUUCCUGUCCCCCAAAUCAAAAACAGCUAAAAGCCCAACCUAGUGACCCUGCGGGCAGAUCUUCCUGAUCUGAUGCCAAACAAAAUUCCCACAAAAUACUUUGAAAAUGGCCUAUAUGAAUGGAAAUUUCACUUUGCUAUGAUAGAAUUCUAAUAGAAAUUUUUUUCCCUAUAAAAAGAGGAAUAUGCGAUGUUUUCUUUUUUUUCCUAAUGUUUUUCUUGCACGAUGAACAUGGAUAGAUACAACAAUAUCAUGAAAAUAUAAAACAUUUGUAUUCCAUUCUACAACAUGCCUAAAAAUCAAGGAAAAUGUAAAUCUUAAAAUAGAACAAAUUAGAUUGCUUAUACUUUAUGGAAUAUUAGUUUGUUAUAUCUAAAAUAGCUUCAUAAAAGUGAUAAUGCACUGAUUUAUUGUGUAAUAAUUGUUUUUGAUUUAACUUAUCCUGUAAUAUUUGCAUUACAUGAUGACACAGUUAUGUCUCUUCACAUCUGACUUAAGUUGAAGACUCCCCUUGGCUGUCUGAUAUAUUUAUCUUAAUAUGUACUGAAUAGUACUUACAUUUGGAAUACUGAAAGUUAAAAUUACUUUUUUUUUCCUAGGUUUGCCAUUAAUUAAAAAUUGAAAUUUUUGCCAUUUCAUAAUGGUAAGUGAAAGUACUAUUAUAUUAUUAUUUUUUUAAUGAUGAUAAUUUCAGACUAGAGUCUCUGAUUAACUGUUGAAUGUAAAUUUGUUAUCUGAUCAAUGAAAAUAAGUUUAAAUUUGAAGCAUUUUUUUAAAUUUUAUUUUAUAUUUAAAAUUAUAAAUUAUCCUGCAGGUAAUUUUCAAAUUGAAUUUGUCAAUAUAAAUACAAGUUUAUCAAGUUAUCCCAUUGACAUAAAUAUGGAGCCCACAUUUGUAUUAUGGGCCGGAUACAAGGAAUGUUUUUAUGCCUCAAGAAUGUUGCAAUGUCCACAAGGAUUUUGAUAAGCACUUCAGAAUAAUAAAUGGUAAAUUUGCUGAAACCAGAAAUACAAAAUGCCUGUAAUAAAAGUCCAAAGUACGAAGGAGAAUAAAUCAACAUAAAACGGGAAAACUGAUAUCAUUUUUAUUGCAACAAGAUAUUGUCAUGGUGAACAAAUUCAUCAAAGCUAGAAAGAGUGGGGAAACAGUUCUGUGGGACAAAUAAAGAUGAAAGAACAGUGUAAUCUGUAACAGGAUUUUGUGAGGUCACAGAUAUGCCCAUAAUAUCAGGAUAUCCAAACAGUUCUGAAUUGUAAUUGGGUGUGUUUGGUACAGAGACAAACUCCACAGUUACUAAAUAAUUGUCCUGAUUUAUUGUAACUUAAAAAUAAGCUUACAGCUACAACUGUCGACAAUAUCAGAUCUUCCAAUUUGUUUUUCUCUGAAAGUGCGAAUGUCCUGCUAGAACUAUCUUUCUGGAUCUCUUGGGAAGUCUGCGGUCCUGGGCGUUGAUUGGAGAAAAUCUAUUGGGGGGGACAGGGUAAUCUGGUUUAAUGUCAUGAUGUAGAGAUUUUUAACUGAGGAUGGUUCUGUGCAAUAGGAAGGCAGGGAAUAGAAGCUCCCUGUGGUCUUGAUACAUAUUUUUAUAAUUUUUCGGUUACCAGAUUGAACACUUUGAUUGGUCUUUUAACAUUAAUAGUUUUAUAAAAUUAUUUUAUAAAUUGCCUUUUACAUUUUUGUGUGGUUCAACUACACUUCCAGAGCUUCACAAUUGGACAAUGUUUAGCGACCUAACUUUAGUAUAAAUGUAUCGGAUAUUUUCUAUAAAUAAAUAAAUUUUGUUGUAA
rnacentral:lncRNA from 1 species